UACGAAGGGGGCGAGCGUUGUUCGGAAUUACUGGGCGUAAAGGGCGCGUAGGCGGCCGAUCAAGUCAGAUGUGAAAGUCCUGGGCUUAACCUGGGGACUGCAUUUGAUACUGAUUGGCUUGAAUGCAGGAGAGGAUAGCGGAAUUCCCAGUGUAGAGGUGAAAUUCGUAGAUAUUGGGAAGAACACCCGUGGCGAAGGCGGCUCUCUGGAACGCAACUGACGCUGAGACGCGAAAGCGUGGGGAGCAAACAGG
rnacentral:rRNA from 1 species